rnacentral:rRNA from 1 species
UGGGCGUAAGGGUGCGUAGGCGGUUUUGUAAGUCUGGAGUGAAAACUCAGGGCUUAACCCUGAGACUGCUUUGGAAACUAUAGAACUUGAGUGCUGGAGAGGCAAGGGGAAUUCCACGUGUAGCGGUGAAAUGCGUAGAGAUGUGGAGGAAUACCAGUGGCGAAGGCGCCUUGCUGGACAGUUACUGACGCUGAUGCACGAAAGCGUGGGGAGCAAACAGGAUUAGAUACCCUGGUAGUCCACGCCGUAAACGAUGAGUGCUAGGUGUUGGGGGGUACCACCCUCAGUGCCGAAGGAAACCCAAUAAGCACUCCGCCUGGGGAGUACGGUCGCAAGACUGAAACUCAAAGGAAUUGACGGGGGCCCGCACAAGCAGUGGAGCAUGUGGUUUAAUUCGAAGCAACGCGAAGAACCUUACCAGGGCUUGACAUCCCUUUGACCGGUGUAGAGAUACGCCUUCCCUUCGGGGCAAAGGAGACAGGUGGUGCAUGGUUGUCGUCAGCUCGUGUCGUGAGAUGUUGGGUUAAGUCCCGCAACGAGCGCAACCCUUGAUCUGUGUUACCAGCACGUAAUGGUGGGGACUCACAGGUGACUGCCGGCGCAAGUCGGAGGAAGGCGGGGAUGACGUCA